rnacentral:rRNA from 1 species
AACGUAGGUGGCGAGCGUUAUCCGGAUUUACUGGGCGUAAAGCGCACGUAGGCGGAUCGUUAAGUCGGGGGUGAAAUCCUGGAGCUCAACUCCAGAACUGCCUUCGAUACUGGCGAUCUCGAGUCCGGAAGAGGUGAGUGGAACUCCUAGUGUAGAGGUGGAAUUCGUAGAUAUUAGGAAGAACACCAGUGGCGAAGGCGACUCACUGGUCCGGUACUGACGCUGAGGUGCGAAAGCGUGGGGAGCAAACAGG